rnacentral:rRNA from 1 species
UACGAAGGGAGCUAGCGUUGUUCGGAAUCACUGGGCGUAAAGCGCACGUAGGCGGAUUUGUCAGUCGGGGUUGAAAUCCCGAGGCUCAACCUCGGAACUGCCUCCGAUACAGCAAAUCUCGAGUCCGGGAGAGGUGGGUGGAAUUCCUAGUGUAGAGGUGAAAUUAGUAGAUAUUAGGAAGAACACCAGUGGCGAAGGCGGCCCACUGGCCCGGUACUGACGCUGAGGUGCGAAAGCGUGUGGAGCAAACAGG